GGUUCAUUGGUGAAUGGGUAUCACACUAGUCUGUCUAACUGGAAUAGCGGGUUCGAGCCCCGCAUGAAUCGCCA
rnacentral:tRNA from 1 species